UAAACUUUUUUUUUUAAAACUACAAUCUAUGUUUUCAAACAAACUUUUUUAAAAAAUUGCUAUAUGUUAUAAAUGUAAUGGAAAAGUUUAUAUUUAUUAAUAACAUAGAGGUUCCUUAUAUAGGAGAUUACACUGUCAUAGAUAAAUGGAAAGAUUACAAAUCAUAAUCUCUUGGUUAUGAGCUAUCCACAAUUUGGUUCAUAACACUCCCUCUUGGAUGUUAUAACCAUUUAGAGCUUGUAAUGUGCUUUAAUGUUGCCUCAUUAAAACCUUACCAGGAAAGCUCAAUUGGGACAAAACCAUGGUGAAAGAAAAAGAGUAAAACAUACAUUACUCCCCCUGAUUUGGACAUUACUGAAGGUCCCUUGGACCUCU
rnacentral:lncRNA from 1 species